rnacentral:rRNA from 1 species
GGUUCAGGACGAACGCUGGCGGCGUGUUCAUACAUGCAAGUCGAACGAUAAGGUUCCUCGGGAAUACAUAAGUGGCGGACGGGUGAGUAAUAUGUAGAGAAUCUGCCCUGAAGAGGGGGACAACAGAGGGAAACUUCUGCUAAUACCCCAUAUGCGCGUAGUUGAGAUACUAUUCGUGAAAGAUUUAUCGCUUCAGGAUGAGUCUGCAUCUGAUUAGCUAGUUGGGGGUGUAAUGGACCACCAAGGCGACGAUCAGUAGCUGGUUUGAGAGGAUGAUCAGCCACAAUGGGACUGAGACACGGCCCAUACUCCUACGGGAGGCAGCAGUAGGGAAUUUUGCGCAAUGGGCGAAAGCCUGACGCAGCGACGCCGCGUGAUCGCAGACGGCCUUCGGGUUGUAAAGAUCUGUCAGUAGGGACGAAAAUGACUGUACCUACAGAGGAAGCACCGGCUAACUCCGUGCCAGCCGCUGC